AUACUUUUUUCCGCCGUUUGGCUAAGAUCAAGUGCAGUAUAUGUUCUUAUCAGUUUAAUAUAUGAUAUUUGGGUCAUCUGCUCAUCUGAUAUUAACUUUUUUUUAAUGGAAAAAACUCAUUAAAUAACUUGCUAUUUGAGUUUUCGAGAGUCUCCUAUGCUUCACACUACUGCAAGGGUCUGGUCUACCCACC
rfam:Brassica napus, WGS project CCCW01000000 data, contig: 10046